UUCUGGCGGUCAAGGAUGGGCUCGCGGCCUAUCAGCUAGUUGGUGAGGUAACGGCUCACCAAGGCUUCGACGGGUAGCCGGCCUGAGAGGGCGACCGGCCACACUGGGACUGAGAUACGGCCCAGACUCCUACGGGAGGCAGCAGUGGGGAAUAUUGCACAAUGGGCGAAAGCCUGAUGCAGCAACGCCGCGUGCGGGAUGACGGCCUUCGGGUUGUAAACCGCUUUCAGCUCCGACGAAGCGCAAGUGACGGUAGGAGCAGAAGAAGGACCGGCCAACUACG
rnacentral:rRNA from 1 species